UACGAAGGGGGCUAGCGUUGUUCGGAAUUACUGGGCGUAAAGCGCGUGUAGGCUGCUUCGCAAGUCGGAUGUGAAAGCCCUGGGCUCAACCUAGGAAGUGCAUUCGAAACUGCGAAGCUCGAGUCCUGGAGAGGAAGGCGGAAUUCUCGGUGUAGAGGUGAAAUUCGUAGAGAUCGGGAAGAACAUCAGUGGCGAAGGCGGCCUGCUGGGCUGUUGCUGACGCUGAGGCGCGACAGCGUGGGGAGCAAACAGG
rnacentral:rRNA from 1 species